UACGAAGGGGGCUAGCGUUGCUCGGAAUCACUGGGCGUAAAGCGCACGUAGGCGGAUUGCUAAGUCAGGGUGAAAUCCUGGAGCUCAACUCCAGAACUGCCUUUGAUACUGGCGACCUUGAGUCCGGGAGAGGUGAGUGGAACUGCGAGUGUAGAGGUGAAAUUCGUAGAUAUUCGCAAGAACACCAGUGGCGAAGGCGGCUCACUGGCCCGUACUGACGCUGAGGUGCGAAAGCGUGGGGAGCAAACAGG
rnacentral:rRNA from 1 species